GGGUUGUGAGGUUAAGCGACUAAGCGUACACGGUGGAUGCCCUGGCAGUCAGAGGCGAUGAAGGACGUGCUAAUCUGCGAUAAGCGUCGGUAAGGUGAUAUGAACCGUUAUAACCGGCGAUUUCCGAAUGGGGAAACCCAGUGUGAUUCGUCACACUAUCAUUAACUGAAUCCAUAGGUUAAUGAGGCGAACCGGGGGAACUGAAACAUCUAAGUACCCCGAGGAAAAGAAAUCAACCGAGAUUCCCCCAGUAGCGGCGAGCGAACGGGGAGCAGCCCAGAGCCUGAAUCAGUGUGUGUGUUAGUGGAAGCGUCUGGAAAGGCGYGCGAUACAGGGUGACAGCCCCGUACACAAAAAUGCACAURCUGUGAGCUCGAUGAGUAGGGCGGGACACGUGGUAUCCUGUCUGAAUAUGGGGGGACCAUCCUCCAAGGCUAAAUACUCCUGACUGACCGAUAGUGAACCAGUACCGUGAGGGAAAGGCGAAAAGAACCCCGGCGAGGGGAGUGAAAAAGAACCUGAAACCGUGUACGUACAAGCAGUGGGAGCACAGAGCAAUCUGUGUGACUGCGUACCUUUUGUAUAAUGGGUCAGCGACUUAUAUUCUGUAGCAAGGUUAACCGAAUAGGGGAGCCGAAGGGAAACCGAGUCUUAACUGGGCGUUAAGUUGCAGGGUAUAGACCCGAAACCCGGUGAUCUAGCCAUGGGCAGGUUGAAGGUUGGGUAACACUAACUGGAGGACCGAACCGACUAAUGUUGAAAAAUUAGCGGAUGACUUGUGGCUGGGGGUGAAAGGCCAAUCAAACCGGGAGAUAGCUGGUUCUCCCCGAAAGCUAUUUAGGUAGCGCCUCGUGAAUUCAUCUCCGGGGGUAGAGCACUGUUUCGGCAAGGGGGUCAUCCCGACUUACCAACCCGAUGCAAACUGCGAAUACCGGAGAAUGUUAUCACGGGAGACACACGGCGGGUGCUAACGUCCGUCGUGAAGAGGGAAACAACCCAGACCGCCAGCUAAGGUCCCAAAGUCAUGGUUAAGUGGGAAACGAUGUGGGAAGGCCCAGACAGCCAGGAUGUUGGCUUAGAAGCAGCCAUCAUUUAAAGAAAGCGUAAUAGCUCACUGGUCGAGUCGGCCUGCGCGGAAGAUGUAACGGGGCUAAACCAUGCACCGAAGCUGCGGCAGCGAC
rnacentral:rRNA from 1 species